GCAAAAUAAACCUCGGCUAUUGUUUCAAGCCAUUGUUUUGGGAUGGCUUUUUAGUGCAGCACUAGAUGCUGCUGUCUCUUGGGGCCUGCACCUCGGCAGAGGCUGAUUCCAGCUUGCAGUUCUCCGCCACUUGCAGGUUGCCCUGGAGUUUGCAGUAUGCAUUUACAACUAAUCCAAGUCCACUUUGAAAUAAUUCUAUACUGCUUCAAGGUCAUGGAGGACAUUCAGGACUUGAGCACUUACCAAAUCACCUUUGAAGUGGAGCCCUGUGUGUGCUGAGACCACUAGGACCCUGGAACGGGUGCCCGUCACUCACAGAGCCUGUCAGCUUCAGAGGCUGGAAAUGGAAAUCCCAGGCCUACUUGUACACAGGAAUCUCCUGGAGCGAGGAUGUCCUCUUUUCUGAUACCCGCAGAACUGGCAUUUAAGGGGAUGCCUGUGCAGUAUAGCGAAGGAUAGAGCCUCAGAAAUAGCCCUUCUGGAUCAAUCACGUCUCUAGUUUCUAUAAAUGGAAGCUUAACAUCUGCUCUGCAUGUGUAUGCCAGAUCCACCUUGUUCUGGACAACCCUGUGACAUGCCUGAGUCACCCAGCCUUGGCCCUUCCCUGCUCACUGCCUCCUCUCCCUCCUUCGAGAGAAGUCAUCCUCCCAGGAAUGUGCUUUUCAAAUACAAACCAACCAAUCCAGAGUCCACACACCGUACUAACUGGGCUCUCAUGAUCCAGGCCACUGUCCUCCUGCCCUAAUCACCUCAGGGCCAGGUACCAGACAACCAAGGACAGCACCUGUGCCCCAGAGCCUGCGGAGAUUACCUACUCACCCUGCCUCGCCCAUUCCUUCCUGCAGAAAACACAACUCAGACUCUUGCCCACAGUUCCCCAGCCCCUCUUGUGACUGACCCUGGUGCCUCCCCAUGUGACCCCACCAUGGCAUCAUGGGGGCUCCCUCUCUUGGGACCUGUUGGCAUGAUAAGCUAUGUUUCCAAUAGCAGUCAUCUCCUCAUCUCGGCCUCAUCACACCUAAAGAAUAAUAAAACCCGUUGAAACACCUUCAACUCAACAGGA
rnacentral:lncRNA from 1 species